UACGGAGGGUGCGAGCGUUGUCCGGAAUCACUGGGCGUAAAGGGCGCGUAGGCGGCUGGGGAAGUCGGCGGUGAAAGCCCGGAGCUCAACUCCGGGUCGGCCGUCGAGACUCCUCGGCUCGAGCUCACUAGAGGCAGAUGGAAUUCCGGGUGUAGCGGUGGAAUGCGUAGAGAUCCGGAAGAACACCGGUGGCGAAGGCGGUCUGCUGGGGUGAGGCUGGACGCUGAGGCGCGACAGCGUGGGGAGCAAACAGG
rnacentral:rRNA from 1 species